AGAGUUUGAUCCUGGCUCAGGAUGAAUGCUGGCGGCGUGUCUAAGGCAUGCAAGUCGUAUGCUAGUAGCAAUACUGGCAUGGCAAACGGGUGCGUAACACAUUGGUAAAUUACUCCGAAGUCGUGAAUAACUCAGAGAAAUUUGAGACAAUACACGAUGGUAAUGAGGGGACACAUGUCAUUCUCAUUUAAAGCAGCAAUGCGCUUCGGAAGAUGCCUAUGGCUUAUCAGCUAGUUGGUAGUGUAAUAGACUACCAAGGCUAUGACGAGUAGCGGGUGUGAGAGCAUGACCCGCCUCACUGGGACUGAGACACUGCCCAGACUCCUACGGGAGGCUGCAGUCAAGAAUAUUCCUCAAUGGGCGAAAGCCUGAAGGAGCGACGCCGCGUGUAUGAUGAAACCCUUCGGGGUGUAAAAUACUUUUAUUAGGGACGAAUCAAUGACGGUACCUAAUGAAUAAGGGGCUGCUAACCUCGUGCCAGCAGCAGCGGUAAUACGAGGGCCCCAAGCAUUAUCCGGAUUUACUGGGCGUAAAGGGUACGCAGACGGUUUUUCGCAUCUCCCGUUAAAUCCCGAGGCUCAACUUCGGAACCGCGGGAGAGAUGGAUAAACUAGAGGAUGGACGAGGCAAAUGGAAUUGCUGGUGUAGGGGUUAAAUCCGUUAAUAUCAGCAGGAACACCAAAUGUGAAGACAAUUUGCUGGGACAUUCCUGACGUUCAGGUACGAAAGCGUAGGGAGCAAAAAGGAUUAGAUACCCUUGUAGUCUACGCUGUAAACGAUGGAUGCUGAGCUUUGGCAGUUUCGACCCUGCCAGAGCUGUCUACUUAAGUUAACACCUUAAGCAUCCCGCCUGGGGAGUACGGUCGCAAGACUAAAACUCAAAGGAAUAGACGGGGACCCGCACAAGCGGUGGAGCAUGUGGUUUAAUUCGACAGUAAGCGAGGAACCUCACCAAGGUUUGACAUCUAGCUGCAUGUCCUGGAAACAGGAAGGCCUUCGAGGGUGCUAGACAGGCGCUGCAUGGUUGUCGUCAGCUCGUGUCGUGAGAUGUACCGUUAAGUCGGGAAACGAGCGCAACCCUUAUCCUAUGUUUUAUAUGUCAUAGGAAACUGCCCGUUUUAAAUGGGAGGAAGGUGGGGAUGACGUCAAAUCAGCAUGGCCCUUACACCUUGGGCAACACACGUGCUACAAUGGAUAGUACAGAGGGACGCCAAAUCGUAAGAUGGAGCAAAUCCCAGAAAACUAUCCCCAGUUCGGAUUGAGGUCUGCAACUCGACCUCAUGAAGCCGGAAUCGCUAGUAAACGCGCAUCAGCUAUGGCGCGUUGAAUACGUUCUCGGGUCUUGUACUCACCGCCCGUC
rnacentral:rRNA from 1 species